AUAUAUAGAGGCCACAUGCAUAUAAAUCUUGCCACCCUCAUUCAAUCCUUUUGUCUUGCCAGAAUAAGCAGCAUACUACCAUGUCUUACCGUGAGUUUGAAACUCUACUUGUACUUCAUUGUUUGAAAGCUGGACCAGUAUUCAGCUACAAGCUUGGAGAAUGAAGAAGAAUUGUCCUCCAUCAGUUUUGAAGGUUCAUCAUAUUCAACCAGUUUUCCUACAAUCACAAUGUAUAUACAUGAAUCAAUCAAACAAUUUUUAUUGUUAAAUUGUAUCAACAAGCUAGGCUCUCCUCGAACCAAGCAAAAUUUCAAGCAUAUAAAAAUGUUAUUUGUAUUUAAA